CCGGUCCCAGACUAACGUAAGUCAGAACCGGUCGCUGGUUAAGGGUCCGAGGACCGGUGCGUCUUCCUUCACACGUUUGUAUGACUAACGUGGUACGUCACAUCCAACCUUGAGAGUCAGACCUCUGUCGGGACUACCACUGGACCUUGGGGCAAGUUACUUCACGUUUCUCAGCAUUAAAUCAUUUAGAUAAAUAUUUUUUGAGGCAGUGUGGGCACGCAGUAUGAACCGAGGGAAAGUGAAAACUUGAGAUAAGAAUCGACGAAACAAAGUUAGUUCUUUUUGUAUUGCUGUUGUCUGCGGAUCCAGUCAGCAAAAGUUAAUCGUGCUGUACGUAUCACUUACUCUGAGGAAAGCCAGCUGUCACAUCAUGAGGACACUUAAGCAGCCUCAUGGAAUCUCAUGUGGCAAGGAAGUGAGGCCUGCCAGCAGCCACGUGAGUAAGCAACCUUCCCAUGACUGGUCUCGGCCAACAGCUUGACUGCAACCUCAUGAGAUGCUAAGCUACAAACCACCCAGCUAAGCUACUUUGAAUCCUUGGCCCACAGAAACUGAGAUAUACACACCUUUCUCUCCUAACCACAGACUCACCACUGGGUGCCAAGGGCUGAAUGAAUGCAGAGUGAAGAUAAAGGAAAGGUACCCGGCCAUAUUCUGUAUAAUUUUAAAACUAAAAUUCAACUUUUUUCCUUGGACAUGGAGGUUUGUGGUUGGUUCUGAACCACAUAACAUUGUCUACAGUUGAGGGAAAUUGUGAUGUUGGAAAGAGUGAAUGCUUUACGAAAGUAUCUGUGAUGCCCAUCUUCUUUCUAACCAGCUGUGCAACCUCUGGAAAGAUAUGUGAACUCUCUGAGCCUCAAGAAUCCCCUCUCUAAAAUGGAGAUAGUGUCCACCUCAAAGGAUUGUUGUGCCAUGUGAAGUGCAGAGAACCUAGCAACUAGGUUCAACAGACACUAUUACAAUUUAAAGUACUUCUUUUCUUGGAAAACAAAUAUUAAACCUGCACACUUGAGUUGGAAUCUUGUACAAAUUCUUAUCUUUGUUCUCCUCCCCCCAUUCAUCUUUGUGACCUUUUCUUUAGGAAGAAGAAUGCAAAUAUUUGUAGACUUAAAACUAGUUACCGUAGCAACUAAAAAAAAAAAAACAA